rnacentral:rRNA from 1 species
UACGGGGGGGGCAAGCGUUGUUCGGAAUUACUGGGCGUAAAGGGUUUGUAGGUGGCUUGCUAAGUCAGACGUGAAAUCCCUCAGCUUAACUGGGGAACUGCGUCUGAUACUGGCGAGCUUGAGUGCAGGAGAGGAACGCGGAAUUCCAGGUGUAGCGGUGAAAUGCGUAGAUAUCUGGAGGAAUACCGGUGGCGAAGGCGGCAUCCUGGACCGGCAUUGACGCUGAGGAGCGAAAGCCAGGGGAGCAAACGGG